rnacentral:rRNA from 1 species
UACGAAGGGGGCUAGCGUUGCUCGGAAUCACUGGGCGUAAAGCGCACGUAGGCGGCUUUUUAAGUCAGGGGUGAAAUCCUGGAGCUCAACUCCAGAACUGCCUUUGAUACUGAGAGGCUCGAGUCCGGGAGAGGUGAGUGGAACUGCGAGUGUAGAGGUGAAAUUCGUAGAUAUUCGCAAGAACACCAGUGGCGAAGGCGGCUCACUGGCCCGGUACUGACGCUGAGACGCGAAAGCGUGGGGAGCGAACAGG